rnacentral:rRNA from 1 species
CAUCUAGCUAGAUGCGAGCAUCAACGUCUCAGUCGAGCGGAGAUGAGGUGCUUGCACCUUAUCUUAGCGGCGGACGGGUGAGUAAUGCUUAGGAAUCUGCCUAUUAGUGGGGGACAACAUUUCGAAAGGAAUGCUAAUACCGCAUACGCCCUACGGGGGAAAGCAGGGGAUCUUCGGACCUUGCGCUAAUAGAUGAGCCUAAGUCGGAUUAGCUAGUUGGUGGGGUAAAGGCCUACCAAGGCGACGAUCUGUAGCGGGUCUGAGAGGAUGAUCCGCCACACUGGGACUGAGACACGGCCCAGACUCCUACGGGAGGCAGCAGUGGGGAAUAUUGGACAAUGGGGGGAACCCUGAUCCAGCCAUGCCGCGUGUGUGAAGAAGGCCUUUUGGUUGUAAAGCACUUUAAGCGAGGAGGAGGAGCUCUAGAUUAAUACUCUAGAUGCUUGGACGUUACUCGCAGAAUAAGCACCGGCUAACUCUGUGCCAGCAGCCGCGGUAAUACAGAGGGUGCAAGCGUUAAUCGGAUUUACUGGGCGUAAAGCGUGCGUAGGUGGUCUUUUAAGUCGGAUGUGAAAUCCCUGAGCUUAACUUAGGAAUUGCAUUCGAUACUGGGAGACUAGAGUAUGGGAGAGGAUGGUAGAAUUCCAGGUGUAGCGGUGAAAUGCGUAGAGAUCUGGAGGAAUACCGAUGGCGAAGGCAGCCCAUCUGGCCUAAUACUGACACUGAGGUACGAAAGCAUGGGGAGCAAACAGGAUUAGAUACCCUGGUAGUCCAUGCCCGUAAACGAUGUCUACUAGCCCGUUGGGGCCUUUGAGGCUUUAGUGGCGCAGCUAACGCGAUAAGUAGACCGCCCUGGGGAGUACGGUCGCAAGACUAAAACUCAAAUGAAUUGACGGGGGGCCCGCACAAGCGGUGGGAGCAUGUGGGUUUAAUUUCGAUGCACCGCGAAGAACCUUACCCUGGUCUUGGACAUAGUAAGAACUUUCCAGAAAUGGGAU